GGGGAUAUAGCUCAGUUGGUAGAGUGCUUGUCUUGCGUGCAUAAGGCCCUGGGUUCAAUCCCCAGCAACACAG
rfam:Ictidomys tridecemlineatus contig048542, whole genome shotgun sequence.